GUGGGGAAUAUUGGACAAUGGGCGAAAGCCUGAUCCAGCCAUGCCGCGUGUGUGAAGAAGGUCUUCGGAUUGUAAAGCACUUUAAGUUGGGAGGAAGGGCAGUAAGUUAAUACCUUGCUGUUUUGACGUUACCGACAGAAUAAGCACCGGCUAACUUCGUGCCAGCAGCCGCGGUAAUACGAAGGGUGCAAGCGUUAAUCGGAAUUACUGGGCGUAAAGCGCGCGGAGGUGGUUUUGUAAGUUGGAGGUGAAAUCCCCGGGCUCAACCUGGGAACUGCCUCAAAAACUGCAUGACUAGAGUACGGUAGAGGGUAGUGGAAUUUCCUGUGUAGCGGUGAAAUGCGUAGAUAUAGGAAGGAACACCAGUGGCGAAGGCGACUACCUGGACUGAUACUGACACUGAGGUGCGAAAGCGUGGGGAGCAAACAGGAUUAGAAACCCUUGUAGUCC
rnacentral:rRNA from 1 species